AAAUAGUCAACACCUCUUAUUUCCAAUUCUCACUACUCAAAACUCUCAUUUUUCCACUAAACACUUCAAAACUUCAAGAAUGAACCUCAAUCUUUGCUCCAUAUCAGUUUUCAACCAUAUAUAUCUCAUCUAACAAGUCCCAAUUAACCACAUAACAGUGCUAGACCAGUUGUCAUCUCACUCUAAUACCAAAUUAUCAAUUUCAC
rnacentral:lncRNA from 1 species